CCUACGGGGGGCAGCAGUGGGGAAUAUUGGACAAUGGGCGAAAGCCUGAUCCAGCCAUGCCGCGUGUGUGAAGAAGGCCUUCGGGUUGUAAAGCACUUUCAGUGGGGAAGAAAGCCUUGGGGCUAAUACCCUCGAGGAAGGACAUCACCCACAGAAGAAGCACCGGCUAACUCCGUGCCAGCAGCCGCGGUAAUACGGAGGGUGCGAGCGUUAAUCGGAAUUACUGGGCGUAAAGCGCGCGUAGGCGGUCUGAUAAGCCGGUUGUGAAAGCCCCGGGCUCAACCUGGGAACGGCAUCCGGAACUGUCAGGCUAGAGUGCAGGAGAGGAAGGUAGAAUUCCCGGUGUAGCGGUGAAAUGCGUAGAGAUCGGGAGGAAUACCAGUGGCGAAGGCGGCCUUCUGGACUGACACUGACGCUGAGGUGCGAAAGCGUGGGUAGCAAACAGGAUUAGAUACCCGAGUCGUC
rnacentral:rRNA from 1 species